CCUACGGGUGGCAGCAGUGGGGAAUAUUGGACAAUGGGGGCAACCCUGAUCCAGCCAUGCCGCGUGUGUGAAGAAGGCCCUCGGGUUGUAAAGCACUUUCAGUGAGGAAGAACGCCUGGUGGUUAAUACCCAUCAGGAAAGACAUCACUCACAGAAGAAGCACCGGCUAACUCCGUGCCAGCAGCCGCGGUAAUACGGAGGGUGCGAGCGUUAAUCGGAAUUACUGGGCGUAAAGCGCGCGUAGGUGGCUUGAUAAGCCGGUUGUGAAAGCCCCGGGCUCAACCUGGGAACGGCAUCCGGAACUGUCAAGCUAGAGUGCAGGAGAGGAAGGCAGAAUUCCCGGUGUAGCGGUGAAAUGCGUAGAGAUCGGGAGGAAUACCAGUGGCGAAGGCGGCCUUCUGGACUGACACUGACACUGAGGUGCGAAAGCGUGGGUAGCAAACAGGAUUAGAUACCCUGGUAGUC
rnacentral:rRNA from 1 species